ACAUUUAAAAUAAUGUAUUUUUUCUAGUGUGACUUGGCACAGAUACAACUGAGAGAUAAAACACAGAAACAACCAAAGCACAAGAUGAAAUACGUACACAACCAUGUGUGUGUCCAUCAAGGUGGGCACCACAAUACCAACAUGAUGCCUCUAGCCCUGAUCUUCAGGUGAAGGGUAUGGAGACAUCCCAACAGAUGCUGUGCAGGCCUUCCUCAAGCUAUAGGAUUGAUGUUGGGAGACAACCCUGCAGUCACCUCCCUCAGAUUUCAGCUCCAUCAAUGGCUACACGAGAAAAAGUGUUUUAUCUUGCUCGGAAUGACCGUAAACAGCUGCUGAAGCACCAGUUCCUCUGCAGUAUUGGGGACCACAGUUCAAUCCCACUGAUUCCAGCCUCACCAGCCAGCUUGGGCUGACCUUCAAAUGGAGAAUGGAGAAGUCCCAGAUGGAUGCAUGGCAGGUGCUGUGUGAGCCACACAGGAACAAGGACUCUCAGAUCCAGCCAGGUGUGUGUGUGCCUCCUGUUUGCUUUAGCAAAGGAAAUACCUCUGCAUCUUUCUGCAAGGGAGUGAGGCUUGGCUGUGGUCUCUUUCCACGUUCGAAGCUGGACCAUGAACCCCCCAGUGAGUUUUACACAUUAAGCAGAGCAAGUAAACAAAACCCGGUAAGAUUCCAAAGACAAUCUUCUGUUCUGGGCUAAAAUCGAUCAGUAACCCAAAACCAGACGAAAAUGGAAAUAUAACCCUUCAGGGAAUAAAUUAAGCAAGAGACAUUUUAUGCAUGAGGUCUUUCUAGGGGGAAGCAGUUCAGUAACAAGGUAGAAACAGAAUGAGCAGCAGUAAGCACAGGGAUGCAAAACCGGGGCCCAUUCAUAGCUCUUGCAAAAGAAAACCAAAGUACCCCGGCAACUUCCUCUCCAGAACAUACAGGCAGCCUGCCCAAGGACAAGACCAUCCAUUUGUACAGCUGCUUCUCAAGAGGAAUGCUUUAGAGGAAUUUAUGGUAUUUAUUUAUACAACGUGCAAGCUCAGCAAAGGCUGACUUGUGCCUCUGUGCAAGCUUACGUCUAAAAACAGCAGGUUAACAGCAGGUCAGGGACUAUGAGAAAAGGUUCUGAUGGUCGCUACCAAAUCAUCCCCUGGAAUAAAUAAAGCCAACCUGAACAUCAUUUAUCUCAUGAGGAAGGCUCUGUCACCCUGGAAAUUACAGAGCGUGGAAGUGAAGCAGAAUCACUUCUGCUAUGGAUCGGUGGCUGAGUUAUGGUUCCCUCCUUGUGAAGCCUCUGCUUCGCCUCCUCCUUGCCCACCCCGUCAGUACUUGCAGAGAGCAGCCACUUAAUUCCCUCCUCUGAGUGCCUCCUACUCCAGCUCUGCCAGUCUCCCUUUAUACCUGCACAAUGGGCCCCUCAGCCCCGCCAC
rnacentral:lncRNA from 1 species